rnacentral:rRNA from 1 species
UUCUACGGCCGUGCUGCCCUAAACAAGCCUGAUCCCAUCUGAUCUCGGAAGCUAAGCAGGGUCCUCAGAAGCUAAGCAGGAUCGGACCUGGUUAGUACUUGGAUGGGAGACCACCUAGGAAGACCAGGUGCUGUAGGCG